rnacentral:rRNA from 1 species
GACGAACCGUCCGAACGUUAUUCGGAAUCACUGGGCUUAAAGGGCGCGUAGGCGGGACCGUAAGUCAGGGGUGAAAUCCCACGGCUCAACCGUGGAAGGGGCGCCGAUACGACCGGCCUGGAGGGGGUAGGGGGCGCUGGAACUCACGGUGGAGCGGUGAAAUGCGUUGAGAUCGUGAGGAACGCCCGCGGCGAAAGCGAGCGCCUGGACCCUUUCGUGACGCUGAGACGCGAAAGCCAGGGGAGCGAACGGGG